rnacentral:rRNA from 1 species
GACGAACGCUGGCGGCGUGCCUAAUACAUGCAAGUCGAGCGAAGCGGCGGAUUGUUGAGUAACGAGUGGGUAACCUGCCCUUAAUUCUGGGAUACCAUUUGGAAACAGAUGCUAAUACCGGAUCCUAACGGCUGGACCUGCAAUGCAUUAGCUAGUUGGUAAGGGAACGGCUUACCAAGGCGAUGAUGCAUAGCCGAGUCGAGGUAAUGAUCGGCCACAUUGGGACUGGGACACGUGCCAAACUCCUACGGGAGGCAGCAGUAGGGAAUCUUCCACAAUGGACGAAGGUCUGAUGGGGCAACGCCGCGUGAGUGAAGAAGGUUUUCGGAUCGUAAAGCUCUGUUGUUGGUGAAGCGGUAAUCAACCAGAAAGUCACGGCUAACUACGUGACAGCAGCCGCGGUAAUAC